CUGAAUUCUAAUAAGGGCUUUACUCAUGCCUCUGAGGUUAUGGGAGGGAGUAUAAAUUAGAGGGACUAAGACCAUAUGAUGGAGAGAAAAGGAAUCCAGCUUUCUAAUUUACAGUGACCUUCAGGAUUCACUAUAAACCUUUCUCAUCCAUAAAUGAACAUUUCUUCUAAUUCUGGAGGUUGAUGCCUGCCUGUGUGUACACACAGGCAAAUGCAGAGAAGCCUCGGGGGAAGGCGAGCAGUCAAGUGGGGAAUUCUGCAUGUUGGGAGCCCACACAGAGCCCAGCUGAUGAAUAAAUAAAGGAGUGCUGGCUUCUGACUGAGCCAAUUUCUUAACCUUUGAGAUCAUUAACGACUUCUCUCUUCCACUGGAAAAAAAAAAAAUAAAUAAAAAAAGAAAGCCAGCAGUUCCUGUAUUUUUCUGAGACACAAGCAAAGCAUUUAGCACCACAAAUAAGCUCAUAAUUUGACAGGCAAAAUGCCCGGAAAAGUGAAAGCAGAUUUCUCCCUCCAGGUCCCUGAAUAUCAUAGUGAUCCUUUACUUGGUUUUCAAAUGAUGUUUCCUUUUUGUUUAAUCACAGGUUUGGGUCAAACCACUCCAAAACACCAUGCCUUGCCCAUGUGCAUUUUCUUAACCUUAAGUAUGUUCACAGUUUCCUGCUUUGCCAGCAAAAACAGACACCACACAGAAAUGCCUACACAUGUCCAGAACUGUUGCUGAGUAGCUCUCAUUUUUAAUUUACCUACCAUCCAUCCAUGGAUUUUUUUCCCUUACGUGCAAAUCCAGCAUUCACAGAGUUGGCAUAACAAGUAUCCAAGAAGCUGUAUUUGCUGUGAAACUCAGCAAAAGGAAUUAGUUACAGUAUGUGAACAAUAACUUUAUAAAGAACUGAGGCUGAUAAAGGCCACGACCAGGUAGAAUGUUCAAGCCUCUAGAAAAUGAAGUAAUGCUGUGUCUUUCCCAAGAGACUUCCAGCCAAGGAACACAGUGUAUUCUCAAAUGGGCUGAGGAAGCAGGUGGCACCCCAGGAUAGGGGCUGGCUGCCUCAGUUUCCUUGUUGGAGAUAAGCCUUUGGGAGCUCUCUUGGAAGAGAUCUAGGAGGAUUAUUGUACAUCCCCAGCCUUUCUGAAGGACCAGACUUCCCUGUCACAUCCAGUCCUGGAUAAAAAUGAUGCUUCAUCAUCACUGGGUUUCCAAGGGCUCAUCUAGGCUCAUCAAGGGGUCAUCUAGGGAGUUGGUUCAGGACAGAUAGUAAUGGGGCAUGGGGCUUUGCUGCCUUGCUGUGUGCCUGCUGCUGCAUCAGAGAAAAAUGAUAGUUGUGUUUGCCUUGAGUUACAGUAAGUGAAAUUCUGACUGAGUAUGGAGAAAAAAAGAGCAAUGUGAGAGUGGUACAGCAUUGAAGCAAGUGCCCACCAAGGCUGCGCACCUUCCUUUCUUGGACAGACAAAACUCAACUGGACAGGCCUCAGCAGCCUGCUUUAAGUUUAAAUUUAGCCAUGCUUGAAUGGGGUUUGGACUGGAGACCUACAAGGCCCAUUCAACCUAAACUCUGCCAUCAUGCUAUGAGAGAGAAGGA